AUUGAACGCUGGCGGCAUGCUUUACACAUGCAAGUCGAACGGUAACAGGGUGCUUGCACCGCUGACGAGUGGCGAACGGGUGAGUAAUGCGUCGGAAUGUGCCGAGUAGUGGGGGAUAACGCAUCGAAAGGUGUGCUAAUACCGCAUACGUACUGAGGUAGAAAGUGGGGGACCUUCGGGCCUCACGCUAUUCGAGCGGCCGACGUCUGAUUAGCUAGUUGGUGAGGUAAAGGCUCACCAAGGCGACGAUCAGUAGCGGGUCUGAGAGGAUGAUCCGCCACACUGGGACUGAGACACGGCCCAGACUCCUACGGGAGGCAGCAGUGGGGAAUUUUGGACAAUGGGCGCAAGCCUGAUCCAGCCAUGCCGCGUGUCUGAAGAAGGCCUUCGGGUUGUAAAGGACUUUUGUCCGGGAGCAAAUGCCUGGUGUUAAUAGCACUGGGAGCUGAGAGUACCGGAAGAAUAAGCACCGGCUAACUACGUGCCAGCAGCCGCGGUAAUAC
rnacentral:rRNA from 1 species